rnacentral:rRNA from 1 species
UGGGAGCUUGCUCCCUGAUGUUAGCGGCGGACGGGUGAGUAACACGUGGGUAACCUGCCUGUAAGACUGGGAUAACUCCGGGAAACCGGGGCUAAUACCGGAUGGUUGUUUGAACCGCAUGGUUCAGACAUAAAAGGUGGCUUCGGCUACCACUUACAGAUGGACCCGCGGCGCAUUAGCUAGUUGGUGAGGUAACGGCUCACCAAGGCGACGAUGCGUAGCCGACCUGAGAGGGUGAUCGGCCACACUGGGACUGAGACACGGCCCAGACUCCUACGGGAGGCAGCAGUAGGGAAUCUUCCGCAAUGGACGAAAGUCUGACGGAGCAACGCCGCGUGAGUGAUGAAGGUUUUCGGAUCGUAAAGCUCUGUUGUUAGGGAAGAACAAGUGCCGUUCAAAUAGGGCGGCACCUUGACGGUACCUAACCAGAAAGCCACGGCUAACUACGUGCCAGCAGCCGCGGUAAUACGUAGGUGGCAAGCGUUGUCCGGAAUUAUUGGGCGUAAAGGGCUCGCA